rnacentral:lncRNA from 1 species
UUUCAGUUUUCAAUUUUCAAUGAUGGUGAGAACGUUAUAUAGAACUCGUAAAAGAUCUUUCUGCAGCUGUGUUAAUGAUUGCAACUAACUGCAGUUGUUGAUUGAUGUAUGCAGAUAAUGGAAGUACCUCAGAGCCGUAGGGUUUGCUUUGAGUGUCGGAGAAUUAUUUUACGAGAUUCUCUGCUCUUAUCUGACAUUGAAAGUGGAUAGCUGAGAUAAGCUCAUAAUACUCCAACCUCCGGUCGACAAGUGCUAGGCAGUGCUUUUAGAAGUGAGGUUGAAAUUACAAUGUCGG